rnacentral:rRNA from 1 species
UACGAAGGGUGCAAACGUUGCUCGGAAUUAUUGGGCGUAAAGCGCGCGUAGGCGGUUACUUAAGUCGGAUGUGAAAGCCCUCGGCUUAACUGAGGAAGUGCACCCGAAACUGAGUAGCUGGAGUACGAAAGAGGGUCGCGGAAUUCCCGGUGUAGAGGUGAAAUUCGUAGAUAUCGGGAGGAACACCGGUGGCGAAGGCGGCGACCUGGGUCGAGACUGACGCUGAGGCGCGAAAGCGUGGGGAGCAAACAGG